UACGGAGGGGGCAAGCGUUGUCCGGAUUUACUGGGCGUAAAGAGCGCGCAGGCGGUCGUUCAAGUCGAGUGUGAAAGCCCCCGGCUCAACUGGGGAGGGUCACUCGAUACUGAUCGACUCGAAGGCAGGAGAGGGUAGUGGAAUUCCCGGUGUAGUGGUGAAAUGCGUAGAUAUCGGGAGGAACACCAGUGGCGAAGGCGACUACCUGGCCUGUUCUUGACGCUGAGGCGCGAAAGCUAGGG
rnacentral:rRNA from 1 species